AGUGAACGCUGGCGGUAGGCCUAACACAUGCAAGUCGAACGGCAGCACAGUAAGAGCUUGCUCUUACGGGUGGCGAGUGGCGGACGGGUGAGGAAUACAUCGGAAUCUACUUUUUCGUAGGGGAUAACGUAGGGAAACAUACGCUAAUACCGCAUACGACGUACGGGUGAAAGCAGGGGAUCUUCGGACCUUGCGCGAUUGAAUGAGCCGAUGUCGGAUUAGCUAGUUGGCGGGGUAAAGGCCCACCAAGGCGACGAUCCGUAGCUGGUCUGAGAGGAUGAUCAGCCACACUGGAACUGAGACACGGUCCAGACUCCUACGGGAGGCAGCAGUGGGGAAUAUUGGACAAUGGGCGCAAGCCUGAUCCAGCCAUACCGCGUGGGUGAAGAAGGCCUUCGGGUUGUAAAGCCCUUUUGUUGGGAAAGAAAAGCAGCAGGUUAAUACCCCGCUGUUCUGACGGUACCCAAAGAAUAAGCACCGGCUAACUUCGUG
rnacentral:rRNA from 1 species